rnacentral:rRNA from 1 species
AACGAACGCUGGCGGCAUGCCUAACACAUGCAAGUCGAACGAGACCUUCGGGUCUAGUGGCGCAUGGGUGCGUAACGCGUGGGAACAUGCCCUUAGGUUUGGAAUAACUCCCCGAAUGGGGUCCUAAUACCGGAUCAUGUCUUCGGAACAAAGAUUUAUAGACUUUGGAUGGGCCCGCGUUGUCUCAGCUAGUUGGUAGGGUAAAAGCCUACAAAAGGGUGGUUCCAUAGAUGGUUUGUGAGGAUGGGCAGCCACACUGGUACUGAGACACGGUCCGGACUACUACGGGAGGCAGCAAAGGGUAAUAUAGGACUAUGGGCGGAGGGCUGAAGCACCUAUGCCUCGUGAGUGAUGAAGGCCGGAAGGAAGUGAAGCACUUUUACCCGUUAUUGUAAUGACGGUACCGAGAGAAUAAGCUCCGGCUAACUCCGUG